rnacentral:rRNA from 1 species
UAAGAAGGGGGCUAGCGUUGCUCGGAAGCACUGGGCGUAAAGCGCACGUAGGCGGCUUCUUAAGUCAGGGGUGAAAUCCUGGGGCUCAACCCCAGAACUGCCCUUGAUACUGAGGAGCUUGAGUCCGGGAGAGUUGAGUGGAACUCCGAGUGUAGAGGUGAAAUUCGUAGAGAUUCGGAAGAACACCAGUGGCGAAGGCGGCUCACUGGCCCGGUUCUGACGCUGAGGUGCGAAAGCGUGGUGAUCAAACAGG